CGAGAUUCGUCAGGGCUUAGCUGGAACUUUGUUCCUUAAUCAGACAGACCAUCACGGACACCUAUCAAUCUUUUGUUUUUUUUUUUCACUCCGUGGCUGUUUUCUUUUCUUUUCUUUUCCCUUUUCUUUUCUACUUCCCAUUUUUCCUUUCCCCCCUUUUUCUUCCUAGUAUCAGAUUAAUUAGACUCCGGGUAUAUCGUAUUGCGGACUCCGGAGGCAAUACUCACAGGGAAAAUACGAGGUUUCCACUAAAGACUUGAUCCUAUGUAUCCUAGUGGCUCCUCUUCCAUCUCUAUCUAUCACAUAUUGCUCGAAUAUUCCUAGCACUGGAGUGUCCUGACUCCUGAGCCCCUCCCCCCACACUACCUUGUUGGUCCUACUUUGCGGCUUUUUGAACACCUUAGCUCGUUGCCCUAACUCGUUGACCGUAUUUUGGCCAGACCACCUGUCAUAAUCCUAUGGAUCCCACGUCCGUGGUAGAUUUUCCAAAGUUUGUGUCGAGCCAAACCACACAACCACACCGCACAGAACGUGGCUUUUCCAAGUGGCGUCGCUAGCAAGUAACACGACCACACACUCGUUUUUGGACCGAAAACCCGGCAGUAGUAUUUACUCACAUCAGUCAGUCAAAACAAAGAUAGCGAGGAUCAUGUCAGCCAUGGAUACCCGACGCUUAUUUGACAGCGUCGACACCGCCGCUUCGUGGUUCGUGCCAAUGAUGCUUGAGAUUUACCAUGGCGACGGGUAAAUUGAGAACACAUUGUUGGUAGAGGUUCUAGUUUGCCUUGUUAGGGUUGCACGACAAACAUAUUCUUCAGACCUUCGUCCUACCGGUUCUCCUCUCAUAUUAGCCAGAGUGAUCUCAGCACUUUUCUCGGGGAGAAUUUUACAAUGUAACAGGCUUUCAUGCUUGAGAAUGAACAUGAACAAUGACUUUCAUAUUUGGACAUCUGCAGGCUAGAACAACAAGGCUAUUCUUCAGCUCAUCGUGAUUAUUUCUUAAUAUCCCUCCAACCCCGGCAUUUAAGAUGGGAACUAUUAUUGACGAUCCCGCAAAUAGACUUGCUGCAGAUCCGCACUGAUCAAGCUAAGCACCCAGCACCGAUCAGCCAAACGAGCACUGCUGCACAUGACAGUGGUUGCUCUAAAACUAACGCGGGUGCCGACAGAUAACCGUCUGCCUGGGAUGUUAUGGGCUUCCGCUGGCCCAUACUCACUUCUUCUCUGGCAAGUUAACAAUGAGAUUGAACGUAGACAAGCGGACCGUGGGCAGAUAGAAUGGCCAAGAAAUAUAAUACACAAAUGCUUAAUAGAAGAACACCAAGACAGAAUUCUUCUUGAUUAGUGGUAUGGAUGAAACUUGCAUUGCAGGUGGAUCUGAAUGUGGCUGGCGUAAACACUUCUGCUGGCGUGAUCCUCAGUCGGCGUUAUUCGAAUG
rnacentral:lncRNA from 1 species